CCCGCCCGCGGCCGGAAACGCGCGCGCGCGCGGCCUUACCAAGCGGCAGGCCCUUGUUGAGCAAGUGCGAGCUGCCCAUCGAGAGGCGCGAGCGGCCGCGGGCCCCGACCACUCCGGCGCGCUGCGCCGCCGCGAGCCCGGCGCGUGGGGCGGCCUCGGCGCCGUCCGCUGCUCCGCCCGCCCGCCUGCGCCUGGCCGCCGCCGUGCCGAGUCUCCGCCGCGCCGCUGAGCCGCGCUCCGACGACCGCGCGGGCGGGGACACGGCGGCGCGCGCGGGCGGGGCCUCGCGGUUGGUCUCCUGGUUCCCAGCGCGGGCGGCGCACGGACUCACGCGGGCGGCUCAGGGCCCGCCCGGCCGGGACGCGGCUGCGGGGCGGGGCGGGGCGGGAGCCUGGCGGGAAGCUCGCGGGGCUGCAGCCCGGCGGAGGCCCCGGGCCUGGUGUUCCGCACGUUCUAAACCGCCUGUCCCCGAGGAAGUCGGGCAGGGUCGGGCCGGACUCAGCGCCGCUGGCGGGAGCGCCGUCCGCCCCGAGGACCCUGCGGGCCCGGAAGCCGAGACAGGGCCGCCCACGUCAGCGCCUGGCGCGGGCCCGAACGUAAAUGGCGCUCCUCCGCGCCGCAGCCGCAGCCGCCCCGCUCCCUUCCCGCUCCGCCAGCUGCCGCCCUCCCGCGCUCGCUUCUCGCCCCGCGGCCUGGCCCGUGCGCCUCCGAGGCUGGCCAGGGGCACCGAGGCCGCGGGCCCCCCAUCGCCCCCACCCGAGCCCUGAUUUACCGUCCGAGAGCCGGCGGCACAUGGGACCCCGAGAGGAGAAGCGCGCCUGCCCCAAAACCACGGCAUGGAGACGGAAUGAUGCAGACUCCUAUCCGCGAGAUACCUGCUGUAAUUUCGCUGUGGUUCGUGAGGACGCGUCCUGGGCUGCCCUGAGAAGCCUACGUCUCCCCUUCGAGGCCCGGGAAGACCUCCAACCCCGCUGACAAUGCUGGGCCCUCAGCCAGACCUGCCCUGCGUGCCACGUUCUGUUCUAAGAUCGGGCUGCCGAGCUGUGGCCUGGAGGAAACCUGGCAGGUGUCACCAGAGCUUUGGGGAGGGUGGGGCUGCCAUGAGCAGCAAGCUCAGUCCAGAAGAACAGUUCCUCUCCAGGAUCCACUUCCUGCGCACUUUUAUGUGCAGUGUAGCUGGAGCAGAGCUCCCCGGAAUUCCACAGGCAACUGAGAACGGAGAGGGAUGCAGGCCAGCCAGGGAUCCAGCGUCUUCCCCAUCGUCACUCUCCAUGGCCUCCGUCUACACACAGUGUUCGUCUGCACAGCUUGUCAGCGCGUUAUCAUGACUUCUAUUUGGCACCGGCCCGUCUGUCCACUGUCCUGGCUUGUUCCAAGCGCUGCCUUCUCCAACUGGGGUCCUGGCUGCAGAGCUGUCUGCUCCCCACGUUGGGCAACUCCAGCCAAGAUUCCUACACCCAAAUGUGACCGUGUUGCUCACGAAGAAGGCUCAGCUUUGCGUGUGCCCAGCCGUGUGCACAGCUCGUCCCAACUCCUGCGGGUGGCACCUGCCUCUCCCACCUCCAGUCUUUCCCCUGUGAUGAGCAGAUGACCACCGCCCUCCAGGGUCAGCGUUUGGCUGUUUGUGUGCCUGCCCACCCGCCUCCCUGUGCCUGGGCCUGCCCUGUGCCUGCACACAGGAGUGGCUCAUGGCGUUUGCCCUACACGGAUGGGCUGUCCUGGGAGCUACUGGACAGUCACCUUGGUGGGAAUGCCAGAGGCAUGGGCAUUAGGUCCCCCCGGCCAGCCUCCGUUGCCACAUGGGCUAUUUUUGUCCAUCGCGUGGGACAACCUAGUAUUGGGGGAAAACUCAGUCCACUCUAAAGAAGCAUCGGCGUUUUGGAUGGACGAAUGCUGCUUCAUGCGACUCCAUGUCAAUGGACUAUUUUAUUCAACUCGGGUAUUUAUGAGUGUCUCCUCUGUGCCAGCCACGUGUGAAAGAAGAACUCCAAGUUACUGGACACCAGGACAAACCAGGUAGAUCACUGCAUCCGGUUCCUCCUCUUUCUGCCGACUCUCCCGGGCAACCGUUCUGAUUCCUGGCAUGGAGUUGGGGGCGAGCUCAUCAGUACCCAGAGCGCCUGGUGUGCAGCCAAAGGCCCCCAUUUUAUUAGUCGGUGUGUUCAGUAUCACGCUCAAGACAAGGGCCAACCUAUUACUUCACACACCUCAAAUACAAAAAGUGCCUGGGAACGUCGAUGAGGUAUUAAAGGAAACCACUGGUCUUGUCAGUCAUGUACACACAGAAAAAAAAACCAGUCAUUUUUAUUUUUAUUUUUUGAGACAGAGUUUCGCUCUUGUUGCCCAGGCUGGAGUGCAAUGGUGCAAUUUCAGCUCACUGCAAUCUCUGCCACCCGGAUUCAAGCAAUUCUCCUGUCUCAGCCUCCCGAGUAGCUGGAAUUGCAGACACCCAUCACCACGCCCAGCUAAUUUUAUGUAUUUUUAGUAGAGAUGGGGUUUCACCAUGUUGGUCAGGCUGGUCUUGAACUCCUGACCUCAGGUGAUCCACCCACGUCAGGCUCCCAAAGUGCUGAGAUUACAGGCAUGAACCACUGUGCCCAGCCGAAAACAACCAAGAAUUUUUUAACAAUAAAAUGACCAGCAAGUAAACUUGAAACAAAAAUGGACAAAUAUCUAAAAUAUUUUUAAAUGUAUGUAUUUUAAUUGGCAAAUAAUACUUGUAUAUAUUGUUUACAACUUGUUUUAAAGUAUGAAUACAUUGUGGAAUGGCUAAAUCAAGUUAAUUAACAUGCAUUA
ensembl:lncRNA CTBP1-DT CTBP1 divergent transcript